GACGAACGCUGGCGGCGUGCUUAACACAUGCAAGUCGAACGGAAAGGCCCUGCGUUUGUGGGGUGCUCGAGUGGCGAACGGGGGAGUAACACGUGAGUAACCUGCCCUUGACUUUGGGAUAACUUCAGGAAACUGGGGCUAAUACCGGAUAGGAGCUCCUGCAGCGUGGUGGGGGUUGGAAAGUUUCGGCGGUUGGGGAUGGACUGGCGGCUUAUCAGCUUGUUGGUGGGGUAGGGGCAUACCAAGGCUUUGACGGGUAGCCGGCCUUGGAGGGUGGCCGGCCACAAUGGGACUGAGAUACGGACCAGACUCCUACGGGAGGCAGCAGUCGGGAACAUUGCACAGUGGGCGGAAGCCUGAGGCAGCAGCGCCGCGUGCGUGAUGACGGCCUUCGGGUUGUAAACCGCUUUCGCCUGUGACGAAGCGUGAGUGACGGUAAUGGGUAAAGAAGCACCGGCUAACUACGUG
rnacentral:rRNA from 1 species